CACCGUUACAUACGCUCGUGUCCCUCGUGCAGCCCUGUUUCCAGAGGACGCGCCCACAGCUGAUACCUGAGGCCCCUGCCGAGCUGGGCCCUGGUGCGAUGAGGACGAGCAGCUGGAAACGGCCCCGGGGGGCACAGAGAGGGAGCCCGUAAAUGCCCGCGGACGGCGCCCGGGCCACACUCGCGGGCCCCACCAGGGAAGAGAAGAAGGCCGCGGUGUUUACCCACCACGGCCGCCGCCGAGGACCGCCGAGGGCCGCCGGGCACCAGCGUCUGCCCGCUGUGUGGGGCUGCCAGCGAGGGCCCGCGGCCAGAGCAGGGCUCAGGGAGACGGGUGCAGGUGCCAGCAGGCGAAGCCAGAGCGGGAAAGGCGGCGGGACGCCGCGGGGGCACGGGCGGAGCACCUGCGGCUUCCCGCCGAGAUGGCCAAGAAGAGGAAAGGGGGAAGGUAUUCUUGCAGCCAUAUUAAAAGCGGAAAAGCAAAACCCCAUCUGGGACACUCCUCGGCGGCACACACGACGGUGGAGAAAUGAGGACAGGAGCACCUCCGUAAAGCACAGAGCCUCACUUGUGGUUGCUGACUCAGUUGGUGUGGCUUUGAUAGAACCACUGCAAUUAAGCACCGUGAUGAGCAAGGACUUGUUGGGCUCUUCAUAAGCAGGAGGUUUUACAGUACCUUGAGGAAUUCCAGUGGACCAGAUCAUGUCAGGACCCCCGGUGGAGACUUUCUCUCAGAUGCUGAAGCCAAGCCAAGCAGAGCAGUGCAACAAGUAUUGGGGCAUUUCUAAAAAUCUGCCACCGCCUCCCCACAACCACCUCCAGGGACAAUUUUUUGAAGCUCAUGUUAAUUGUAUCCCUUAAAAUUCAUUUGGGGGGAAAAUACCUGAUAAACUGGGAAUCUUCAGGAAAUCUAUUCCUGAAACAAAAUGUCCCUUUCUUUCUCCCUUUCCUUACCUGGUCUAGAACUAGUCAGCCCCUUUUUACUGCACUAUUCUACUACAAAUAUUGUAACCUGGCUUCAUUUGGCUACAGCCCAAGCCUGGGAAGAAGCUGACCAUGUUCACAGCCUAGCUAAUCAUGCCAGUGUGUCCAAGCUU